rnacentral:rRNA from 1 species
GCGCACGCUGGCGGCAGGCCUAACCCCUGCCAGUCGCACGAACCUUUCGGGGUUAGUGGCGGACGGGUGAGUAACACGUGGGAACGUGCCUUUAGGUUCGGAAUAACUCAGGGAAACUUGUGCUAAUACCGAAUGUGCCCUUCGGGGGAAAGAUUUAUCGCCUUUAGAGCGGCCCGCGUCUGAUUAGCUAGUUGGUUGAGGUAAUGGCUCACCAAGGCGACGAUCAGUAGCUGGUCUGAGAGGAUGAUCAGCCACAUUGGGACUGAGACACGGCCCAAACUCCUACGGGAAGCAGCAGUGGGGAAUCUUGCGCAAUGGGCGAAAGCCUGACGCAGCCAUGCCGCGUGAAUGAUGAAGGUCUUAGGAUUGUAAAAUUCUUUCACCGGGGACGAUAAUGACGGUACCCGGAGAAGAAGCCCCGGCUAACUUCGUG